AUUGAACGCUGGCGGCAUGCCUUACACAUGCAAGUCGAACGGCAGCGGGGGAGAAGCUUGCUUUUCCUGCCGGCGAGUGGCGAACGGGUGAGUAAUACAUCGGAACGUGCCCUGUGGGGGGUAACUAGUCGAAAGAUUAGCUAAUACCGCAUACGACCUGAGGGUGAAAGUGGGGGACCGCAAGGCCUCAUGCUAUAGGAGCGGCCGAUGUCUGAUUAGCUAGUUGGUGGGGUAAAGGCCUACCAAGGCGACGAUCAGUAGCUGGUCUGAGAGGACGAUCAGCCACACUGGGACUGAGACACGGCCCAGACUCCUACGGGAGGCAGCAGUGGGGAAUUUUGGACAAUGGGCGAAAGCCUGAUCCAGCAAUGCCGCGUGUGUGAAGAAGGCCUUCGGGUUGUAAAGCACUUUUGUCCGGAAAGAAAUGGCUCUGGUUAAUACCUGGGGUCGAUGACGGUACCGGAAGAAUAAGGACCGGCUAACUACGUGCCAGCCGCCGCAGUAA
rnacentral:rRNA from 1 species